rnacentral:rRNA from 1 species
UACGGAGGGUGCAAGCGUUGCUCGGAAUUAUUGGGCGUAAAGGGUAGGUAGGUGGUCUCAUUUGUCUGGGGUGAAAGCCUUGAGCUUAACUCAAGAAGUGCCUCAGAAACGGUGAGACUAGAGUCUUGGAGAGGGUCGUGGAAUUCCCGGUGUAGCGGUGAAAUGCGUAGAGAUCGGGAGGAACACCAGAGGCGAAGGCGGCGACCUGGACAAGUACUGACACUCAACUACGAAAGCGUGGGGAGCAAACAGG